ACCUCGUUCCUCACGAUUUCUCACCUGCCUCUUUGUGCGAACCUCUUCUGCAUAUAAAAAAGGGUACCAUCUCUUAAACCCCACUCCAAUAUUUUCUCUCUCAUUUCCAACAAAAACGACAAAAAAUUCAUUCACAAACUCGAGGAAUUCGCUCAACAAGUCGAAGGAAAACCCAUAGUCUGCAAUGUGCGGUGGAGCUAUAAUAUCGGAUAUCGUGGCGCCGGCGAGCCGGUCGUCGACGCGGCUGACGGCGGAUUUGCUGUGGGGGAGCGCCGUCGCCGGAUUGAGUAGGAGGAAGAUUCAGGGGAGCUAUCGUCACUCCAAGCAGCUGAGAUCUGCGCCGAUCAUCGAUUUGGAGGAUGAUUUUGAGGCUGAUUUUCAGGAAUUCAAAGAUCACUCCGAUAAUGAGGACGAGACUGGCGCGAAGAAGGCGUUCGCGUUCUCAGCUGCGAAGAGUUCUAGCUUAAAAGGUAUGCCACCUACGGACACUGUUGAAUCUGACGAGGAGGCUGAGAAGUCCUCGAAAAGAAAGAGGAAGAAUCAGUAUAGAGGGAUCAGACAACGUCCUUGGGGAAAAUGGGCUGCUGAGAUCCGUGACCCGAGGAAAGGGGUUCGUGUGUGGCUUGGUACUUUUAACACAGCAGAGGAAGCUGCUAGAGCUUAUGAUACUGAGGCUCGGAGGAUCAGGGGCAAGAAAGCUAAGGUAAAUUUCCCUGAAGAUGCUCCCCCUGCUGCCUCAAGAUGUACUGUUAAAGCAAACUCGCAUCAAGAGGUUCUUAAGGAAAGCCCGGAGGCAGCUCAGCCCUACGAGAAUGAAAGCCUGAAUUUCAUGAGCAUGCUAAAUGAUGACUACUAUGAUUCAUUUGGUGUCAUUGAGGAGAAACCACAAAUGAAGUCGUUCGGCUAUGCUGAUGCCUACCCUUCAGCUGAUGAAAGCAAUCUAAAAUCACUCCCUCCUACUGAUGGAUCGCAUGUUUGCUUCAGCUCUGAUCAGGAAAGCAAUUCUCUUGAUUGCUCGGGCUUUGCUUGGGGUGAGAACUGUUUAAAAACUUCAGAAAUAUCAUCUGUGCUGUCAACGGUCCUCGAGGAUGAACAAGCUCAGUUCAUGGAGGAUGCUGGCCCAGCGAAGAAAGCUAAGACCACUCCCGAGAAUCUCGUGCCCAGUGAUGAGAAGGCUGCUAACAAACUCUCCGAUGAUCUAUCAGCUUUCGACUCCCAGAUGAAGCUCUUUCAGAUGCCAUAUCUCGAGGGCAAUUGGGAUGCCUCACUCGAAGCUUUCCUUAAUGGAGACGGAGCUCAAGAUGGUGCAAGCGCAAUGGAUCUCUGGUCCUUUGAUGAUGUCCCAGCUAUGCUGGGCAGUAUCUACUGAGAUUGCCGAGUUUGUUAAUGCCGGCUUUCUGUAAAUAAGGCUACAUGUGCGUUUGUUGCUGGUGAUGAAGAAACGGCAACAUUCCAAAGCAUGCAUAAAGCCAUGGAUGGUGUUGUACUAGAGCCUGCUUAAUGUGCAUUACAUAGCACCAUUUGUUUGUUCAUUGCAUCAAAUCAUCUCCAGAAAGAGGUAGCAGUAAUAUCUGGAGCUGGGAGGCAGCAUGCAUCUUUCAAAACCUGCUUUCUGGCUGACAGAUAUAUACAUAUAUGUUAUCUGGUUUUCUUGAUUCAUAUCCGGCAUUAGAAAUGCUUUAUGCCGGUUGUAAAUUUCCUAAAUUUUGAUGAAAAUGGCUUCCCUUAUUCUCAUUUUAAA